rnacentral:rRNA from 1 species
GACGAACGCUGGCGGCGUGCUUAACACAUGCAAGUCGAACGGAAAGGCCCUGCUUUUGUGGGGUGCUCGAGUGGCGAACGGGUGAGUAACACGUGAGUAACCUGCCCUUGACUUUGGGAUAACUUCAGGAAACUGGGGCUAAUACCGGAUAGGAGCUCCUGCUGCAUGGUGGGGGUUGGAAAGUUUCGGCGGUUGGGGAUGGACUCGCGGCUUAUCAGCUUGUUGGUGGGGUAGUGGCUUACCAAGGCUUUGACGGGUAGCCGGCCUGAGAGGGUGACCGGCGACAUUGGGACUGAGGGACGGCCCAGACUCCAACGGGAGGCAGCGGUGGGGAGUAUUGCACAAUGGGCGGAAGCCUGAUGCAGCAACGCCGCGUGCGGGAUGACGGCUUUCGGGGUGUAAACCGCUUUCGCCUGUGACGAAGCGUGAGUGACGGUAAUGGGUAAAGAAGCACCGGCUAACUACGUG